UCGGGGAGUGCAUAAAGUGGCGCACGGGUGAGUAACACGUAAGUAAUCUACCCUCGGGUGGGGAAUAACGUCCGGAAACGGACGCUAAUACCGCAUAAUGCAGCGGCACCGCAAGGUGACAGUUGUUAAAGAUUUAUUGCCUGGGGAGGAGCUUGCGGCAGAUUAGCUAGUUGGUAAGGUAACGGCUUACCAAGGCUACGAUCUGUAUCCGGUCUAAGAGGACGGUCGGACACACUGACACUGAAUAACGGGUCAGACUCCUACGGAAGGCAGCAGUCGGGAAUUUUGGGCAAUGGGGGAAACCCUGACCCAGCAACGCCGCGUGAAGGAUGAAGUAUUUCGGUAUGUAAACUUCGAAAGAAUAGGAAGAAUUAAUGACGGUACUAUUUAUAAGGUCCGGCUAACUACGUGCCAGCAGCCGCGGUAAUACGUAGGGACCAAGCGUUGUUCGGAUUUACUGGGCGUAAAGGGCGCGUAGGCGGCGCGGUAAGUCACUUGUGAAAUCUCUGAGCCUAACUCAGAACGGCCAAGUGAUACUGCAGUGCUAGAGUGUGGAAGGGGCAAUCGGAAUUCUUGGUGUAGCGGUGAAAUGCGUAGAUAUCAAGAGGAACACCUGAGGUGAAGACGGGUUGCUGGGCCAACACUGACGCUGAGGCGCGAAAGCCAGGGACAA
rnacentral:rRNA from 1 species